ensembl:lncRNA
CCCCGUGAGAGAGCAAGGGCACGGAAGGCUUCCCUUCCCAAGAGGCGGGAUGUGGGCCACGGGGGAGGAUGGGGUCAAUUGGAUUCCAAGAGCCAGAGCUGGAGGGCAAAGCAGACUGGGCAGACUGGCUCAUGUGAGGCACAGUGGCAGGAAAGCCUCAGGCGCAUACGUUCCGGGGAAAGAGCGUGAGAAGACUGUGCCAGAAGGGGAAGAAGUGACACCUGAGCUCACCUGGCCUCAGACCACUUUCCAGCCUUUGAAUCCAUCAAAGAAGAGCACCUCCUGCACCUACCCCAGAAUUCCAAAUUCUCGUUUCACAGAUGAGCAAGCUGAAGCCACGGUGGAGAAGGUAGUCCCUGCCCCUGUGGGUCCAUAGUCUAGCAAGAAUGCCCCAAACUCCAAGGACGGGUGAGCGCCCCUCCUCGCCCCAUGCUGUACGCAAUCAGAGAUGAGACUGUGGAGGAUCAGGAAGCCCGAGAGCCAGGCUGGUGGGUGCACCUGAAGGAUGAGGGGCUCUUUGAGGAUUCUGGAGAGGAUUCAUCAUCACAUCUGUUGAGCCACCCUGCCCACGCAUGUGCUCAGAGGCUCCUAGGGAAAACUGAUGGUUUGGUUGGAAAUUCUUCUCUGGUCUGGAUGUGGGCUAUCUCUUAGGCUUUAAGAAGCCAGGAUCCUGCCAUCUGAAUCCCUCGCUCCCUCCCCACUCACUUCCACCCCAGCCUACGACUCUGAAGGUCUGUUAUAACACAGGCACCAGCUGGGGGGUAACAAAUGGAGCUGGGAGAUUUGCCACCAGGCUUAAGACCUGCCUUGACACGUGGAGGCCGAGUCAGCUUGGGAAGAUCUGACAGUCUUGAGUCUCAGUGUCUUUGUUUGUGAAAUAGACAUUGGUCCCCCCUUCAUGGGGCUGUGGAGAAAGUGGUCCAAGCCAUGGAAAUGAGCUACCCCUCCCCCCACACACACUCAUGUAUGCAGGGAAUCUCAGAGCUCUGCCUGCCUUGCUAAUUGCCCCCAUCUCCGCAGCGUCUGCUGCUCACUCCAUCAGCACCAGCCUGGCACAUCGCAGGAGCUCAGGCAAAGUCUGAGGAACCCCACUGAGGACCACUGAGAUGUAGAGCAUCCCAAGGGCCCCUACCUGGGGUGCCAGCUGAGCAUCAGGAAGGGCUGGGACACCAAAGCUCCAUCCUCUGAGGAGGGUCCCCAAGACAGAAAUAAUGCAGGAAUCCCCCAUGCUGAGCAUUUUCAGGGUGCUUGGGCCUCCACUGUUGCACGGUAAGGGCAACAGGCCCAGAAGAACUCUCCUCAGAGGCCACCAAACAAACAGCAGGAUGUCACGCACUCCUGGCCAGUGGUGAGGAUGGGGAGUAUUUUCAGACUUGUUUUAAAAAUUGGCACCAGCCGUGACAACAAUGACAAUGACAAUAAUCAUAACUCUCAUUCACUGAGCUCAGACCUGGGGCCAGGCUUGAACCUAGGACACACUGACAUCUUCUAAUUCCUGUUCCAGAGUUGGAGGGAAGUUCUGGCACAGCCCUUGAGCUAUUAUGAGGGUCGGUAGCUCAUCAGGCUCUCACAGCCCAUGGGGGGAGCAGCCUAGUGGCUCUGACACCAGGCAACAGCAGCCACUCUUGCCUCACAUGUGGGUCUGAGACCUGCCAUGAGGUUGGCCAAUAGUGUAUCAAUAACUGGUCACUCCUGCCCACUCUGCUGUCGGUGCACAGGCCCCCGAGGCCCAAGGGCGACAUUUCCGAAACUUUUGAAUGGCCCUCAGGGGUCCCGUUCCUCUGCUCACCCGCACAGAUGCAGGGGCUGAGGUCCAGCCGGCUCUCGAGAACACAGGCCAUGCAGGGGUGGAGUGGGGGGAAAGGCAGGGGCCGAGGGGCAGGGGUGGGACAGAAUUGCUCCUGCUGUGGCCCCAUGCCCAGCCCUGAUGGAGGGAGACUAGGUCACUGUUAAACUCUGCUUUCUGAAGGCCUGUGUUUUACAAAUUGUGUGGACAGGAAGGCAUCGUGUGGAGCCUGGGGGCCAGUGGGCAUGGGAGGUGAGCAAGGUGCCCGGGAGACAGGAAGCCUUGAUAGCAAGUCAGAAGUUGGCCGGCUAAAGGGCGGCCUUUGGGUUCUUACAUAAAAAGAAGGGGUCCCAUACAUAAAAAGAAGGAGGUUUCUCCCCCUCAUCCCAUUCCCUUUGUCCAUGCUCUUAUGAUGACAUGGAAGCAUCUGGAAAUGAGAAAAACAUGUCCUUUGACAUAUAGGAGACCCGUGUCCAUGGAGUUUUCAGCUGUGUCAAAAGAUGCCCCCCUGCCUCCCCAAGCCAGGGCUUUGCCAACCCUGACAGCCUCUCCUGAGUGCCCCAGUGGACCAAGGAGCCCUCGAGCCCACAAUUUUCCAAACCUCCACCAUCUACUGGCCUUCUUGGUUUACCCUCGCCUUUUACCUCCUGGGCUGUUAUUGGCUGUUCCAUUUUCAUUAGGUCAACUUAUUUUUAAGCUUCCGUAAGUGCAUUUUAAAAGAACAUUUCAUAUCAUUCUCAUAAAAGGGAAAUGAGUAUUUUUCUAAAACAUUAAAAUAACUAUCUAU